UUUUUCGUGAAUCCCGGCACAAAACACUUUUGUGUUAAAAAAUUCAUCGACAAACUAUUUCAACACUGAAGGUCAGUCUUCAGUGUUGAAAUAGUUUGUCGAUGAAUUUUUUAACACAAAAGUGUUUUGUGCCGGGAUUCACGAAA
rnacentral:pre_miRNA from 1 species